UUACGGCCACAUCACGUUAAAACUUCUGUUCCCAUACGAUCACCGAAGUUAAGCAACGUUGAGCCUGGUCAGUACGUAGAUAGGUGAACGCUUCGGAAUACCAUGUGCUGUAAG